UUUGUUGUUUUUUGCUUUAUUUUACAUGAAAUAUUGUCCAAUAUCAAAUGAAAGAAGUAAGCGAUCCACUAUUGGUAUGAGCUCGAAUGAAUCUCUUAUAGUUAUGUCUUACACUGCAUCACUUAUUUGGAUCAGCUGUUUGCUGUGGUUGCUUCCAAAUCUGCUUCUUAAAGUCAUCCAUGCUUACAUGAUGCUUAGCAAAGCAAAUUUUAGAGUCUAGCCGACUUUUUUCAUGCUAUGAGCCAAGGACAAUUAACCCAAAUUGACCUAGUUAUGCAAUWUUUAUUGUGUUUGGCAGUUAUUUUUUUUCUCCGAGCUUGUUCCCCUGCCUUUCUAGCUGAGAGACMAAUUAACUUUAUUAUGAAAAACAUCCAAGCCCAAAGUUAGAUCAGUGAAACUGAUAUCCGUUAAUAAAGUUUGACGAUGGAUGGUACCGUAUUCGUGUGUCAGGAUUGAAAACGUUCCUAUGCCAGAGUUAUAACUUCUUAAAUAUGUACACAUUAUCCACAUUUCUAAUGUCCUCCAGAUGCCCCAUUAAACUGAUUUACCUCUGUACAAAACACACAUGGUAUAAAUCUUGUAAAUAUGAUUAUAAAAUAAUUCUAUGACGUCAUUUGAGUUAUCAACGAUUGCAAAACGAAUUUGAAGUAAUCCGUUAUGAUUGAUUGAAAAGUAAAAGCUGUGCUUCCAAAAAGUUAAAAAGAAAUUCCUUAUGUAUGUGCAAUUCGGAUAUGGCAGUUCUUUCAAUGCCAAGUUUUCAGUUGUCACUUCUCAAUCCUGACAAUAGCUGUCGUUCAAGCUUUUAKACUGCAAAARCUUGACCCGAGAGAUUGGUUACCUCAUUUUCCAUUUUCGAAACUUGUCAUGUCUGGAUUCAACUGCAAGCUCAAACUGAUCAAAAUAAGCGUUUGUAACUUCUCAUCCAUUUCAAACCUUUUAUUAGAAGUAUUGAAAGAAGUUCAUAUUAUAUAUAGUGAACCACAGCUAAGCAAAA